GACGAACGCUGGCGGCGUGCUUAACACAUGCAAGUCGAACGGAAAGGCCCUGCUUUUGUGGGGUGCUCGAGUGGCGAACGGGUGAGUAACACGUGAGUAACCUGCCCUUGACUUUGGGAUAACUUCAGGAAACUGGGGCUAAUACCGGAUAGGAGCUCCUGCUGCAUGGUGGGGGUUGGAAAGUUUCGGCGGUUGGGGAUGGACUCGCGGCUUAUCAGCUUGUUGGUGGGGUAGUGGCUUACCAAGGCUUUGACGGGUAGCCGGCCUGAGAGGGUGACCGGCAAAAUGGGGCCGGAGUGACGGCCCAGACGCCUCCGGGGGGCAGCAGGGGGGAAUAUGGAACAAGGGGCGGAAGCCGGAUGCAGCAACCCCGGGUGGGGGAUGAGGGCCUUCGGGUGUUAAACCGCUUUCGCCUGGGAAGAAGGGGGGGGGACGGGAAGUGGUAAAGAAGCCCCGGCAAACUACGG
rnacentral:rRNA from 1 species